UGAUCUGAAUUUUUUUUUUUUUUUUUUACCGAGUGUGGGAAAAAAAAUUUGGAUCUUGCUAUGAAUGGGUAUUGUUCCUUUACUUGUUUUGUUAUUUGUUUUUGCUGAUUGGAAUAUAUAAUGAAGUGUUUAGUUUGAUGAAUAUAUAAUGGGUAUUGUUUUCGGAUCUUGCUGAUUGGAAUAUAUACAUGUUCUCAUGAAGUGUUUUUGUUAUUUGUUUUGUUAUAACAAAAUUUCGGAUCUUGCUAUGAAUGUGUAUUAACUUGGAGAUAUUGUUAUGCUUCACAGACUGGUUGUAACAUUUUGUACUCUUCGAAUAACUUAUAUAUUUCAGUUGUGUUAGCUUGUGUUUUGGUUUGUAACAUUUAACGUCUAGAUCAAUGAUACAAUUUAUUUUUUAUUCGCCUCUCCCUGUAAUGGACGUUUAGAUUUCACUUUUCUGUGUUUUCCUUUACUGAUGUCAAAGCAGUUCAAGCAAGUAUUAGCAAAGGUUAUAUGAUUAAAUUAUUUUAAUUCCCCAGGAUACUAAUCGUAAAGUUGUUGCUUUGUAAGUUCAUGAUAUAAGCUGUACAAUGGCGUAAGGAUUCUUUGAUGCAAGAAAUUAUACUUGAAGGACCUUCUUCAUUAGUUACUGAUGUUUGUUAAGUCAGCUAAAUAAUCUUAUUGGAACAAGCUUUUGAUAUCUAUAUCUAUAUAUAAAAGCAGAAACUGAGAGAAAAUGAAUUCCUAGAAUUAAGGAGAUAAUGACAAAUAGGAAAAGUCCCUACCUAAAAUUCAGACAAGUGUAACUUUAAAAAGCGAUUCAUUAUAUUGUUUCCCAAAGAUAACACACCGUAUGAUAGCUCUACCUCUCUCGCAUAAAAAGAAAAAAAACCGGCCCAAAUACAAUUUAGGCUUGGAAUACUAAAAAAAAAAAAAAAAAAAAAAGCGCUGGAUACAGAAAGAAGUAGAGGGUUCUCCGUUCCUCUUCAGACGUAGAGCACCGCUGCAAGCACAUAGAGGAAGAAAAAUCUAUGGGCAUCAACACCGUUAGGCUACAUAUCUGCCACCAUCAGAUCGUCGGAACCGGUUCCGGGUUACGUUUUUGGUCCAGCACCACCCAUCUCCGACUCCAUUCAAUCACAGCCUCAACGGUGAUUUUGGUUUAGGGUUAUGUUUCUCUGCUCUGUUAGUUGUCUGCCCCCAUCACUUCUCUUCAAGUGUGUAUUAGGAAGAUUAGUCAUCCCUGACUUAUAAGACUUUUGGCUACUAUUCGAGAAGAACUACUGAAUUAAAUUGAAAGGUUGAACGUAAGUACAGAUGAUACUUUGGUAGAAGAUGGGUCCAAUUGUUGUGCUGCUCCUCAAGGAAUCCAUGGGUCAGAAAAUGAGUGGUUGUGAAGAAUUUCCAAAUGCUAUAUGGGAUGGAUGUCGUCUACAAGAGUUACAUAGAAGGAUAUAUUUAUUUAUUGUUUUGGGAUGUUAUUCUAUUUGGUCAGAGAACUCUUAAAUCCUCUAUUAUUGUUGAGAUUCGCAGAUUGUACAUAUUUGUUUUACUGUGGUUAAAAAAAGGUUAAUUGAUGCAUUUUCUUAGAGAUUAUUAUUAUUGUAGAUGUUUAAAUGAAGCAAUGCAUGAACACUCACUGAACCCUACUGCUUUGUUAUAGUAAUGUUAACUAUUGUUUAUCCAAUUUUAUACAUAGUCUCUAAUUUCAAUGUUUUCUCUAUUGUACAUUUUUCCUUAUAUGUGGAUCAGAUAUGCCAAUUGAAGAGUGGUUAAUAGUAUUGCUAACAUAUAAUUUAUAAGAUUUCCAAUUGAAAAUCAACAUUUUAAAGAAAGUUUGACUAUGAUGAGAACUAUUUUGGUACUUAUUUUUUCUAGCUAUGAUCACACAUGUUUGGAUUGUUGGUCAUCUUUGUUUACGAUAGGUUUCGUUCCUCCGCACCGCAUGUUAGUACCAUGUAAAAUAUUUUUUACAUCAUUUUACAGUUGUGAGCAAAUUUAAGACUCCAACGAUAUUGAAAUUCUUAAGAUAUCCUAUAAUGCCAAAGUAGGUAUCUUAAUUCUUUAAUUUUUAGGUGGUAGUUCCAAAUAAGUUGGCUUCCUGUCAAAAUGAUUGAAUAUGGAAUUUUAUGGUUCUUUUUUUUCUUUAAUUCCUUCAUCAAGAUAAUGUUCAGUUUUAUUUUCAUUGUCCAAGCAUAUAUACUCUAUUUUGUGACUUCAUUAUUCCACUCUAAUAUGAAUGGAAAUAUUAAAUUAAAUAGUUAAAAUUGAGUUUGGUGUUAAACAAAGUUCAAAAGUGUUUUUACGGUUCAUUUGUUUAAACACAACAAGCUUUUUUGGAUUUUAGAUAAUUAUAAUUGUUAAACUGGUAUACAUACAGUAAAUGAAAUUUAGUUUUUAGAGUCUUAUCCAUUCUAAAUACCUUUUUUUUUUUCCACGUUUUUGUAAAAGCAAUAAAGGUAGAUAAGAAAGAUUAUGAUUUCUACAAAACAUAUAAAGGAUCGUUCAUUGUAAUAGUCAUUUAAGCUAUUGUGAAAAUUUAUAAAGGUAACAUUUCACUGAAAUAGAAGACUUGGAAUGGAACUUAGAGACAAAGGUAUCAAUUUUACUUAUACAACUUAAAAAAUUUAUAAUAACCUUUACAUUUCUUUAAAAAAUUUCUUUUAUAUUGCAACACAUAUUGAUGACAUGCAAACUCAAAAUUUUUAACGACAACAACAUAAAUAUAGGGUAUUAUAUUGCAUGUCUUAUACGAAAGACAAAGGCCAAACCUAUCAAAGGAUUUUUAUGGUGAGUGUUGUAAAGCUGACCCUAAAUCAUAAAAUGACCCCGCGCAUUGCGCGGGUUAAACACUAGUUUUCAUUAAGUAUUGGGUACACUGUCUACUGGAAUAACAAAUAUGCCUUUGAACAUUUUUUAUACAACUCAAUUGUUGUUUGGAUGGUAUCAUCUCCUAAUUGAAUCUUGAUUAGUGUACGCUUUUGACCCUUAAAAUUUUGAGUUGCUUUUAUUUUGGCCUUGUACGUUUCAAAAUUUUAUUUUGGCAUUUUAUGUUUGAUUCCAUUUUCAUAUUAGUUCUACUGUCUAUUUCCAUUAGUAAUUUGAUCAUCCAUUAUAAGUUUUUCUACCUACAAUUAAAUUCUUGCAUUCCACAACAUUUUAGAGAUAGUAUUCCAUGAAAUAGUUAAAUCUAAAGGGUGUCUGUUGGUUAGAUUAGUGAAAAUGGAUAGCAUGACCAAUAUUAAAAAGGAAUCAAACAUCAAGGGUCAAAAUAAAAAUAAUCCCAAAUGUUAAGGUCCAAAAAUGUAUUUUAGUCUAAAAUCUUCAUAUCUUGGGAAGACAAACUUUUUAGAUUGACAUAAUCUGUUCCAAAACUUCCAAUCCAGCAAUUUCCCAUCUGAUUUGCUUGAAAUCUAGCAAAAAUUCUUGCUUGCAACAUUCAGUUUAGGGCAUAUCUUCUUUGUUAGGUAGCAGGAAGACAUGAUAAAUGAUAGAAUGGAUUGAGCUAGGCGGUUUAUUAGAGUACUCCUAUCUGCCCAUUGAAGGAUGCUUUUUCUCCCAUCUAAAUCCAUUCAACUUAGAUCCUAUCUUCUUCUAAAAAAAAAGAAAGAAACAGAUUCUAUCUUACCUUUAACAAAUUGCAAGGCUUGGAUUUUUGUGUCUGGUUAAGCGCCCUAAAUAAUUGGUGCUCUAGUAAUUUGAAUUUCUAAAACAUGGCUCAAAAAGUUCUAGGCCCAAUAGACCCUUGCAAUCACAAAAGUGCUAGCCUACUUAUGUCUUUGUUAAAAGUCCGGAUGCCAAAAUUCUACUUUUUAUCUUUGACACCUAUGUCGUAAAUGUACUAGUUGUUUAUAUCUUUUUCUUUUCUUUGUUUAGCUCUUAACAGGAGUUAGUUUGUCUUCUUACCAGGAUAACAAAAUUUCGGAUCUUGCUAUGAAUAUAUAACACUGAUCUGAAUUUUUUUUUUUUUUUUUUUUUUACUGAGUGUGCUAUUUUGAUGACAUAGGCAAGUGAUUAGAUGUGUGCUGUCCCUCUCUAUCAUACAUGUAUAUGCUUUCUCAUACCUUCUAUUACCCUGAUUGUGAUAUGUUUGAUGUUCAUGACCUCUGUAAUAUGUAUAUAUGCAUGACUAACUCUCCUUAGAAAGAGCCUAUUGUAAUUGGUUAAUCAAUUAUUCAUUAUAAUUACAUAUUAUAUGAGUGUGUUAAAACAAUUGAAUUUUUUUUUUUCUAGGGAAAUAUUAUGUAGUACAAUUUAAACUUGGGUUAUUGGUAUGUAUUUUAUCAUCUUUUUUUACAUUUUUGUGUUGUACAAUUUAAACUUAGAUUAUUGAUAUGUAUUUUAUAUGUUUUUACAUUUUUAUGUAGUACAAUUUAAACUUAGAUUAUUGGUGUAUAUUUUAUCAUCUUUUUACAUUUUUAUUUUGUGCUUCAUGUUGAUGGAAAUUAUUUAGAUUUAAUUAAUAUUAUUAUUAUUAUUGUUUAGUAAGUAUAUGAAAUAGAUGAUUUAAUAAGUAUGAAAUAAACUCACAUCCACAAAAAAAAAAAAAAAAAAAAAAAUGUUUGAAAUAAAUUCCCUUAUAUAUACAUUGUCCUUUUUGGUCAUUUACCCCUCAAAAAGCCACUUUUAACAGUUUUUACCAAACAUUCAGCUUUUUCAUUAUGCACUUUUUAACAGUUUUUACGAAACACUCAGCUUUUUGAAACUCCACUUUUUUAUUAUGCACUUUUACAAAACUCCACUUUUUCAAAAAACUGAACCAAACUCACCUAGAGAGUAGAGCUUGUAGUUGUAGAGAUUAGUUUUUUCUUUGUGGACUGGUAGUUGGGUAUAAUAGGGACAAGUGGAGUUGGGCAACGGACAAAAGGUAAAGUUACAGUCUUUAACUUUACCUUUUUUUUUUUUUUUUUUUCUUCUGGAAGCUCAAUUAGUGUCGGUAGUGGCCAGUGGGAUUCAUUGGGUUAGUGGGUCAAUGUUAGAAAGAGGGAGACAACACAAAGACAUAAAUAAAGGCAGACCAAACAAAAAAAAAAAAAAACAAAUCAUAUGAUAUAAAAAAUUGUCACACAAAUUUAAGAAAAUAAUGGUGAUUCUUAUAUGAUUCUUAUUUUAUUGGUAGAUCAUGAAAAAAUCAAUUACAAUGCUUGAUUUUUUCAAAAGAAAAGGUUCAACUUCAAAUUCUUCCAAAGUCAACAUGGAAGUCACCUUGGAAUAACCAAUCAAGGUGAAAAUUUCAUAGUGAUAUAUAUUUUUGAAAAGUGUUGCCAAUGAAAAUCUCUAGCUUUGUAGUUUUGAAUGAACAUUUCAGAAUUUGAACUGUUGCCAUACUUCAUUAUGUUGAAAGUUAUAUAAUUUAUAAUGUUGAACUUCAUGUUAACUUUUUGUACCAUUUUCCAGUCGCUCACAUGCUAUCUUUGCAAUUACUAUGGAGCAAAAGAAAGUUGAACGCUUUGUAGCCAGAGUAACUAAUGAAGACAUUGGUGAUGACAACAUAUGUGCAAAACUGCUUCUAGUGGAUCUCGCUGGUUCUGAAUGUGCAAAACGAACGGGUGCAAAUGGCAAGCUUCUUGAAGAAGGUAGUAUGGUACAGACUUGGUCUUGGGGUUUCAAUUUGUUACAAUAUGGUUAAUAAAAUAGUGGCAAGAUGAACAUCUAUAGCUUUGUAGUUUUAAAUUAUAAAAUAGCCAUCUGUUGUGAAUGUGAUAUAUGGAAUGAUAAGUAUGUUACAUCAUUUAAAUUGGAGUUUACCCCAUUUGUGUUUGUUUUAAUAGUUUAUUUGAUGUAGGAAAACAUAUCAAUAAGGGUUUAUUGGCACUUGGCAAAGUGACAAAUGCCUUGGGAGAUAAAAAAAGAGAUCACGUUCCGUAUCGUGAGAGCAGGUUAACCCGCUUGUUACAGGCAAGUGAAUAAAUAUUUAUUUUUCUUACUUAGAUUGUAAGUAUAAUUUAUCAGAAUUUGCUUGUACCAAUGAAAUUCGAUUUGGUCAUGGAUUAGUACAUUAUAUUUUACAUAACACAAGAACACAUAGUAAGAAGUUGUAAUAUGGAGGCUGCCAUAAGUACCAAAAUAAUGGAAUAAGGGUUAUUAUUUACAUUUUUUGGUAUUUAAAGUGAAAAUUUGACUGAUUGUAAGAAGUUGGAAUGAGAGAAUUUUUUACAAUCAGUCAAAUUUUCACUUUAAAUACCAAAAAAUGUAAAUAAUAACCCUUAUUCCAUUAUUUUGGUACUUAUGGCAGCCUCCAUAUUACAACUUCUUACUAUGUGUUCUUGUGUUAUGUAAAAUAUAAUGUACUAAUCCAUGACCAAAUCGAAUUUCAUUGGUACAAGCAAAUUCUGAUAAAUUAUACUUACAAUUUAAAUAAGAAAAAUAAAUAUUUAUUCACUUGCCUGUAACAAGCGGGUUAACCUGCUCUCACGAUACGGAACGUGAUCUCUUUUUUUUAUCUCCCAAGGCAUUUGUCACUUUGCCAAGUGCCAAUAAACCCUUAUUGAUAUGUUUUCCUACAUUAAAUAAACUAUUAAAACAAACACAAAUGGGGAAAACUCCAAUUUAAAUGAUGUAACAUACUUAUCAUUCCAUAUAUCACAUUCACAACAGAUGGCUAUUUUAUAAUUUAAAACUACAAAGCUAUAGAUGUUCAUCUUGCCACUAUUUUAUUAACCAUAUUGUAACAAAUUGAAACCCCAAGACCAAGUCUGUACCAUACUACCCUCUUCAAGAAGCUUGCCAUUUGCACCCGUUUGUUUUGCACAUUCAGAACCAGCGAGAUCCACUAGAAGCAGUUUUGCACAUAUGUUGUCAUCACCAAUGUCUUCAUUAGUUACUCUGGCUACGAAGCGUGCAACUUUCUUUUGCUCCAUAGUAAUUGUAAAGAUAGCAUAUGUGAGCGACUAGAAAAUGGUACAAAAAGUUAACAUGAAGUUCAACAUUAUAAAUUAUAUAACUUUCAACAUAAUGAAGUAUGGCAACAGUUCAAAUUAUGAAAUGUUCAUUCAAAACUACAAAGCUAGAGAUUUUCAUUGGCAACACUUUUCAAAAAUAUAUAUCACUAUGAAAUUUUCACCUUGAUUGGUUAUUCCAUGUUGACUUUUGAAGAAUUUGAAGUUGAACCUUUUCUUUUGAAAAAAUCAAGCAUUGUAAUUGAUUUUUUCAUGAUCUACCAAUAAAAUAAGAAUCAUAUAAGAAUCACCAUUAUUUUCUUAAAUUUGUGUGACAAUUUUUUAUAUUAUAUGAUUUGUUUUUUUCUUUUUGUGUUUGGUCUGCCUUUAUUUAUGUCUUUGUGUUGUCUCCCUCUUUCUAACAUUGACCCACUAACCCAAUGAAUCCCACUGGCCACUACCGACACUAAUUGAGCUUCCAAAAGAAAAAAAAAAAAAAAAAAAAGGGUAAAGUUAAAGACUGUAACUUUACCUUUUGUCCGUUGCCCAACUCCACUUGUCCCUAUUAUGCCCAACUACCAGUCCACAAAGAAAAAACUAAUCUCUACAACUACAAGCUCUACUCUCUCUCUCUCUCUCUUAUCUAUAUAGAGAGUUGCAAACACAGCCAAAAAGCCCAAAAAAAAAAAAAAAUUACCACAGGCAGCACAUAUUCAAUUCAUAAUCAGUCAAUCACCAACAUCAGUUCAGUUCAUCAGUAAAAACACAAACAUGAAUCACCACCAGUCCACAAGGCACAAGCACAGUUGCUGUGAAUCUCAGAUUCUCAAAUCAGAUCACAAACAUUUUAUAUUUAUUAAGUUUUGAAGGAAAAGAUAAGAGUAAAUACUUGUGAGCGGCAGCGGCAAGUGGGUCUCGAGCAACCGGCGACGGCGGCAAGUGGGUUUGAAGUGGGUGGCGGCGACGGUGUCUCGGGGUGCUUUUGCCAUAAAAAGACAAUAGACAUGGGCUACAUAUGUUCUGUAUGCUUGUCCAUAUUCUGUAAGCAUCACAAGAAAUGUUCAACCUGUGGGUCAGUAUUUGGUCAGGCCCAGUCAGAUGUUGCCUCAGCUUCCAAUCUUAAGAGAGAGACUCCAGAAACAUAAUCGUACUCUUCUACAAGCAGAUGUAUUUUUAAUUAUUCAUUUUUGGUGAUUCAUCAGAAGUAAAAUGAUCUGUUUUUGAUGCUCUUCCAUAUAUUACAGUUCAAUUAUUUGUGUCAUUGAACUGGUAUUUCUGGUUCAAAUUUCCUAGCAAUUGGUUUUUUUCAAUUGAGCUGUUUGGGAACCAGAAAAUAUUUGCUGAGACAAUUUAGGUAUACUGUAUACAUCACAAUUUUGGCCCCUAGUAGAGCAUAUCAGACUUUUGUUUUGAGA